AGGGAAUCUUCCGCAAUGGACGAAAGUCUGACGGAGCAACGCCGCGUGAGUGACGAAGGCCUUCGGGUCGUAAAACUCUGUUAUCAGGGAAGAACAAGCAUCGUUUAACUGACGGUGCCAUGACGGUACCUGACCAGAAAGCCACGGCUAACUACGUGCCAGCAGCCGUGGUAAUACGUAGGUGGCAAGCGUUGUCCGGAAUUAUUGGGCGUAAAGCGCGCGCAGGCGGCUUCUUAAGUCUGAUGUGAAAGCCCACGGCUCAACCGUGGAGGGUCAUUGGAAACUGGGAGGCUUGAGUGCAGAAGAGGAGAGCGGAAUUCCACGUGUAGCGGUGAAAUGCGUAGAGAUGUGGAGGAACACCAGUGGCGAAGGCGGCUCUCUGGUCUGUAACUGACGCUGAGGCGCGAAAGCGUGGGGAGCAAAC
rnacentral:rRNA from 1 species